GUGGGCGUAGCUCAAUCGGCGGAGCGCCAGGUUGUGGCCCUGGAGGUCGCGGGUUCAAAUCCCGUCGCUCACCCCA
rnacentral:tRNA from 1 species